GACGUAGGAUGCAAGCGUUGUCCGGAAUUAUUGGGCGUAAAGAGUUCGUAGGCGGUUACUUAAGUCUGGUGUUAAAGACGGGAGCUCAACUCCCGCAUGGCAUUGGAAACUGGGUGGCUAGAGUGCGGUAGAGGUCUCGGGAAUUCCAGGUGUAGCGGUGAAAUGCGUAGAUAUCUGGAGGAACACCGGUGGCGAAAGCGCGAGACUGGGCCGUAACUGACGCUGAGGAACGAAAGCCAGGGGAGCGAAAGGG
rnacentral:rRNA from 1 species